rnacentral:rRNA from 1 species
GACGAACGCUGGCGGCGUGCCUAAUACAUGCAAGUCGAGCGAAGCGGCGGAUGGGUGAAUAACGCGUGGGUAACCUACCCUUAAGUCUGGGAGACCAUUUGGAAACAGAUGCGAAUACCGGAUACUAAUGGAUCGACCUGCGAUUCAUUAGCUAAUUGGUAAGGUACAGGCUGACCACGGCGAUGAUGCAGAGCCGAGUUGAGAGACUGAUCGGCCACAUUGGGACUGAGACACGGCCCAAACGCCUACGGUAGGCAGCAGUAGGGAAUCUUCCACAAUGGACGAAAGUCCGAUGGAGCAACGCCGCGUGAGUGAAGAAGGUUUUCGGAUCGUAAAGCUCUGUUGUUGGUGAAGCGGUAAUCAACCAGAAAGUCACGGCUAACUACGUGCCAGCAGCCGCGGUAAUAC